CACGCAUUACCUACAAAAUAAGGUCCACUCUAAGUUCACUUCUGUCACGGAGGCAUAUAAACAAACAGUGUUGUGUUAAAUGUGCCGGGAAAAUGGCGGCCCCGUCAAACGGUAGUGGUAAUUUAGUGGAAGAAUUCGAAGAAUCUUUUCAGGCAUGUCUGAACGUGCUGACGAAGCAGGAAGCAUCUCCUUGCGUGGAGAAGGAGGAGGUGAAAGUCGAAGUCGAAAGGUUCAUCGACCUCGCCAGGCAGAUGGAGGCUUUCUUCUUACAAAAGAGAUUCCUGUUAUCCGCAAUGAGGCCGGAGUUACUAGUGAAAGAAGAUAACAAUGAACUGAAAUGUGAACUCCAAAGAAAGGAGGAGUUACUCAGAAGACAUUACGACAAGAUCAGCCAGUGGCAGAACUUGUUAGCUGACUUACAGGGCCACACGGUGUACAACAAGUGCCAGCAACAGACUGCUCAGGCGCCGCCCGCUGUGCAACAGGCGCCUGCGCCCCAACAUGUGGUGCAGCAGAGCGUGCAGGCACAACAAAUGGCAGCAGCCGCGGCAGCACAACAAGCCGCGUUGCAACAACAGGCAGCGUUGCAGCAACAGCAGGUACCUCGCCCCCCGCACCCGCCCGCGUAUCCCGCGAACGUGCAGCGACGGUAGUCUGACUCGAAGUGAAACUCGAUCUGAUCUGAACGCAUACCUGUCAGAUUCGACCACGGCGAAUCAAUCGAAUAAGCAUGAUGACUGAGAAAAAUAAUUAGUCCGCCUUUUAGAUAACCCUGAAAUGAAGGACACAUAAUAUCUAUUAUUUGUUUUCUCUCAAAAACAGGAUAUAGGUAAUACGAUAAAAUGUUUGUGUUACGUCACUUCUAAGUACAAAUUUUACACAGACGUGACGUCACACCCCAGCGGGGCCCAGCAGGGCCAAGGCCUGCCGGGGCUGCGGGUUGUUCGAAAGAGAUACCGCGGCCCUGGUACACAAAAGGCCUAUGACGGAACACGACGGUUUUUAGUCAGUAAGAGUCUGACACUCCCUCACCGCUGCUAACCCACAGCGGGAGGGGUCAUUUGAUGAUUUUUGACGUCGUUAAAAAAAAAAAAGACGUGACGUCACAAGUACUCUCAAUGUUUGUCACUUUAGGUAUAUCUUAAUAAAUAUUUAAUGUUUUGCGAAAAAUGCCGAUCCAAAAUGCGGACUAAUUAGGAUUACUAUUUUUUUUACCCUGUCAUUAUGCCUAUCCUGUCAAAUGUAAUGUAACCUUUGCCGCCGCAGUCGUGGCCGAGGCCUGACAGCUGUGCUUUCACCAUUAAAGUAUUUGUGCUGGUGAUUUUUUUAAGUCACUGUCAGUCAAGUGAUAGGUGAUUUCAAAACAGACAAGUUUUGAGCAAAUGUAAAUUGUAUUAUUAAGUAAUUCUAAAAGUAGGUAUUUAAGCAGUUUUUUUCUUUUGUUUAGUAGAUAGAUGCAACUUUGAUUUUCUUUAAAAUAUAUUUUGAUUUUUUAAUAUUA
rnacentral:misc_RNA from 1 species